GUCACAUAUAGAGUUGAACAAGAGGAGCAAGACUUCAAAACCACCGAACAGGACUUUAAAGUACAAUUGUGACUUGAAUCCAUGGCCUUUUGGCUCAGAACAAGAAACUACCAUGCAGCCACAUGACACCCUAUAUGGACUGACUGAGCAAGCAGACCAUCUAUUGGAGGAACACACACCCUAUCAAUAAUAAGGGAACAUCUAGCCAAUGGUGUGCAAAACAACAUUAAAUUGAAUACAAGUUUGAAAGCGAGACAGAGGAAGGAAGAACAGAGUUCCUUUCGACAUUGACCCUCACUAUCAACACUGUUAACCUGACAAGCAUCCCAAUUCCUGGCAACACAAACCCCCAACAGAAAAAUCUCCAA